UACGGAGGAUGCGAGCGUUAUCCGGAUUUAUUGGGUUUAAAGGGUGCGCAGGCGGCGUGGCAAGUCAGAUGUGAAAACCCGGGGCCCAACCCCGGGAGUGCAUUUGAAACUGCCAUGCUGGAGUGCCGGAGAGGUAAGCGGAAUUCCUAGUGUAGCGGUGAAAUGCGUAGAUAUUAGGAGGAACACCAGUGGCGGAGGCGGCUUACUGGACAGUAACUGACGUUGAGGCUCGAAAGCGUGGGGAGCAAACAGG
rnacentral:rRNA from 1 species